GCUGAGCUCAGUAGCGUGAGCUUGUAACCCAAGUGGGAGGAAUAAGAUGAUCGGGACAACCAAAUCUUC
rnacentral:SRP_RNA from 1 species